GAAAUAUGAAAUUCAAGAUUUAGCUUCUAACUAAUAUCUUAAGCAGUGAAAAUCUGUUUAUAUUUCU
rnacentral:tRNA from 1 species